rnacentral:rRNA from 1 species
CGGGGCCCGAGUUGUAAUUUGUAGAGGGCGUUUCGGGUGCGGUCCCGGUUUAAGCUCCUUGGAACAGGACGUCAUAGAGGGUGAGAAUCCCGUAUGCGACCGGCGGUCGACCCCAUGUGAAACCCCUUCGACGAGUCGAGUUGUUUGGGAAUGCAGCUCAAAAUGGGUGGUAAAUUUCAUCUAAAGCUAAAUACCGGCCGGAGACCGAUAGCGCACAAGUAGAGUGAUCGAAAGAUGAAAAGCACUUUGGAAAGAGAGUCAAACAGUACGUGAAAUUGUUGAAAGGGAAGCGCUUGCAGCCAGAUCUGUUCCUGGGCGAUCAGCCGUUAUUCUUAGCGGUGCACUCGUCCUUGUUCAGGCCAGCAUCGGUUCGGGCGGCCGGAUAAAGGCCCCGGGAAUGUAGCUCCCUUCGGGGAGUCUUAUAGCCCGGGGUG